rnacentral:rRNA from 1 species
GACGAACGCUGGCGGCGUGCUUAACACAUGCAAGUCGAACGAAGAGCGAUGGAAGCUUGCUUCUAUCAAUCUUAGUGGCGAACGGGUGAGUAACGCGUAAUCAACCUGCCCUUCAGAGGGGGACAACAGUUGGAAACGACUGCUAAUACCGCAUACGAUCUAACCUCGGCAUCGAGGAAAGAUCAAAGGUGGCCUCUAUGUAUAAGCUAUCACUCAAGGAGGGGAUUGCGUCUGAUUAGCUAGUUGGAGGGGUAACGGCCCACCAAGGCGAUGAUCAGUAGCCGGUCGGAGAGGAUGAACGGCCACCUUGGGACUGAGACACGGCCCAGACUACUACGGGAGGCAGCAGUGGGGAAUCUUCCGCAAUGGGCGCAAGUCUGAAGGAGCAACGCCGCGUGAGUGAUGACGGCCUUCGGGUUGUAAAGCUCUGUUAAUCGGGACGAAAGGCCUUCUUGCGAAUAGUGAGAAGGAUUGACGGUACCGGAAGAGAAAGCCACGGCUAACUACGUG